AUGACUGCAGAGAGUUAUUAUAUACCGUUACAUAUCUUAAAAGAGAUUACAAAUGGAUUCUCAGCGGACUCAAGAAUAGGAAGGGGUGGAUACGGAGACGUUUACAAGGGAGUUUACAAUAGGAGAGAGGUUGCUGUAAAGUUGCUUCAUGUUGAUACGUUGCUAGGACUUGAUGACCAACGAUAUAUCAAUGAAGUUGGUAACCUUUUGAAGGUUAAGCAUCCAAAUAUCAUACAGUUACUUGGUUAUUGUUAUGAAAUACAGAAUGAACUAAUUGAACACAAUGGUGCAAAUCAAUUUAGCCAACACAUAUAUAGAGUCCUCUGCUUUGAGUACUUGCAGGGUGGAAGCCUAGACAAGCAUCUUUGUGCACAAUCUUUUGCACCUAAUUGGAGCACACGUUACAAUAUUAUAAAGGGGAUUUGUGAAGGUUUAAAUUUCCUUCAUGAAUGCAAACCACAAAUUUGUCAUCUUGAUUUGAAGCCUGCCAAUAUAUUACUAGACAGUUCCAUGGAGCCUAAAGUGGCGGAUUUUGGAUUGUCAAGGCUAUUCACUCCAUCACACACACAUAUCACAGAAAGAAUCAUAGGAACCCGGAAGUACAUGCCACCAGAAUUCCUAAAUGAAGGCAAAAUCUCACCUAAGAAUGACGUCUUCGGUUUCGGUGUUGUAAUGAUCGAGAUAAUGGCAGGACCUGCAGGUUACUCCAAUUCUUUUGAAAUGCAUGAUGUGGCACAAUUAAUGCAGCAGGUACUUACCAAUUGUACAAUGAUUGAAGCCACAUCGAAUAACCGAUCAGAGGAAUUACGUCAGGUGAAAACGUGUAUUGAAUUAGCAAUGCGUUGUGUGGAUUCUGAAAGAGACAAUAGGCCCUCUGUAGCAGAUAUCCUAGAUACCCUGAAUAAGACAGAAACUCAUAUUCCCAAGAGACAGCAUUGCCCUCAAAUCAGUGUUCCCGGGCUGGAGAGGGCCAAGAAGAGGAAGAAGACGGGAGGGAACUUGAAGGGGAUUGCAGAAGAACGUACCCAUUUCACUGUCAUGCAAGAAAAUGCCCCUAGUAUGCUUGAAAACAGGGAUCACCGGGAAACAUCAGCAAAGAUAGGAGCAGAAGUCGUAGGGAGGGACAUGGAAAAACAGGAAAUUAUGGCUCAUUUAUCUGGGAGUACCACACAAGAGAUCACCUUCCUUCCGAUAUAUGGUAUUGGAGGCAUUGGGAAGACAACCAUGGCACAAUUUGUUUUCAAUGAUUCCCAGUUCAAAGAGUACUCUCGGGUUUGGACCUAUGUGUCCCAGACAUUUGAUUUAAAGAAAAUUGGGAAUUCUAUAAUAACACAACUAUCCGGUAGCAAGAGUAUGCAUACUGACCUUCAGAUGAUAGAAAAUAGCCUGCAAAAGCUCCUUUCUGGUAAGAGGGUUCUAAUCAUCUUAGAUGACCUGUGGGAGAGGGAAUCACCUCAGUUAAAAAAGUUGGAGAGUAUGCUAAAUCUGGGUGAAGGGGGCAAAUUGGUGGUGGUAGUAACCACACGAGAAGAAUCUAUUGCACAUAAAAUUCACACUGGCAGAGUGAAGCCAUAUAAGCUAGCUCCCUUAACAGAUGAAAUUUGUUGGACUAUCAUAAAAAAUAAAAGUUCAUUUGAAAACAGAGCUGAAAGAGCGCAGUUAGAGUUGAUCGGAAAGGAAAUUGCAAAGAAGUGUGGAGGUGUGGCUUUAGCAGCCCAAUCUAUUGGGUAUGUGUUGUAUGCUAUGGAAUUUGAUGAAUGGGUGUCGGUGAACAACAGUGAGAUCUGGGACGUGCUUGCCUCAGGAGAAUCAACUCAUCAUGUUCAUGCAUCCUUGCUGCUAAGCUAUCACAUUAUGGAUAAAUACUUGAAGUUAUGCUUUGCUUAUUGUGCAACCUUUCCAAAAGGUCACAAGAUAGCUAAAGAAGAUCUAGCUCACCAAUGGGUUGCUCUUGGACUUGUUGAGCCAUCAAGGACAUUCUCUAAUAUACAAACCAGUCAUAAAUAUAUUCGUCAUCUUUUUGGCAUGUGCUUCCUUGAACAUCCAAGGUCACAAUGGAGUUAUAUGGAUGUCGAUAAUGGAUUCUUGAUCAUGCAUGACCUGGUGCACGAUCUCGGAAGAUCAUUUCUGGCUGAUAAAAUUAUUAUAGAGAGUCCUGCCUGCCAAUAUGCAUGGCUGACAGAUCAUAGAAAGCUAUUUAAGUCAUCAAUGAAUCCACUCGCCAAGCUAUUUAUGUCAUCAAUGAAUCCACUCGCCAAGCUAUUUAAGUCAUCAAUGACUCCACUCGCCAAGAUAAGGGCACUGCAUUUUCUCGACCGUGCUUACUUGCAGCUUAAUGGUGAAGCUUUUUCACCGGCUAAAUGCCUCCUUGUCUUGGAUUUAAGCAGAUGUUGUGCACAAAAGCUGCCUGAUUCUAUUGGUCAACUGAAACAGUUGAGGUAUCUCGAUGCUUCAUGGAACCCCGAGUUUACUGAAUCUUCUGAAUACCAAGCACCACCGGAGUCUUUAUUGAUACCGAAAGCCCUGGGUUCCCUUAAUGAACUCCAAUAUUUGAAUUUAUCAGGUCGCGGAAGACCCAUAGGGCUGCCAGAGGUCAUCAGCGAACUCACGGACCUCCGGUAUUUGAAUAUAUCACAUUGCAUGGGUUAUUAUUUAUUGGACAUCCCAUCAGCAAACCAAAGUUUCAUUGACUGUAUCGGUACCCUUCCUAAUCUAGAGCAGCUGGACAUGUCUUCUAAUAACUAUGGUUUCUGUGUACCUGAAAGUUUCAGCAGACUCAAGAAGCUGAACCUCUCCGACUGCCAGUACAUUGCUAGCCUUCCAGAAAAUGUGGGGAAAGUGGAUAUUCCAAUGCUUUUUGGCUUGUUGUUCCCGCAAAAGGGAGGGUUUCCUGUGCGUGUGGUUGAUAGUGAAUCUAGCAGCAGUCUUGUCUGGCUUAAGCAUACAAAUCCUGAUGUGUUGGGUAUCACUGAUACUUGA
rnacentral:rRNA from 1 species